rnacentral:rRNA from 1 species
GGUGAGUACCGUAGGCAACCUGACCGUAAGCUCGGGAUCACACGGGGAAACUCAAGCUAAUACCGGAGGGGUCUUCUCUCGAAAGAUAGGAGACGGAAAGGUGGCGCAACUACCACUUAAGGAUGGGCCUGCGGCGCGAUGGCUAUUUGGUGGGGUAACGGCCUACCGGGGCAACGAUCCGUAGCCGACCUGAGAUGGUGACCGGCCACACUGGGACUGAGACACGGCCCAUACUCCUACAGGAUGCAGCAUUUGGGAAUUUUCCACAAUGGACGAAAGUCUGAUGGAGCAACGCCCCGUGAACGAUGAAGGUCUUCGAGAUUGUAAAUUUCUGUUGUCAGAGACGAACAAGUACCGUUCGAACUGGGCGGUACCUUGACGGUACCUGACGAGAAAGCCACGGCUAACUACGUGCCAGCAGCCGCGGUAAUACGUAGGUGGCAAGCGUUGUCGGGAAUUAUUGGGCCUAAAGCUCGUGCAGGCAGAUAUCUAAGUCUGGUGUUAAAGCCUGGGGCUCAUCCCCGGUUCGCAUCGGAUACUGUGUAACUUGAGUGCAGAAGAGGAAAGCGGUAUUCCACGUGUAGCGGUGAAAUGCGUAGAGAUGUAAAGGAACAACAGUGGCCAAGAGCCCUUUUUGGCUGUAACUGUAUCUUAAGGACAAGAGCGUGGUGAGCUAACAGGAUAAGACACCGUGGUGCUCCACGCUGUAAACGAUGAAUAGGAGGUGUUGGGUGUUACAACCCCGUGGCUGCCGGUAACAACGCAAUCAACACUCCCCGUGGGGAGUACGGUUGCAAGAAAAAAACUCAAAAGAAUUGAGGGGCCCCCCCACCAGCGGUGGAUCUUGUGGUUUAGUUAGCAACAACGCGAACCUCCUCACCUCGUGACGACACCCUGGAUACCAUAGAAAAAAUAGGGGCCCCCUGGGGGGCAGCGAUGACUGGUGCUGCGUGGUCGUCGUCACCUGUUGUCAUGAGUUGGGUUGUUACCUCCCACAACCACCACCACCCUUUUCAUUAGUCACCAGCUUUGAGUGGGCCCUUCAAGAGGGAAGCCGGUGGCCAAUCGGGGGAACGGGGGGGAGAAGGUCAAUUAUUCUGCCCCCUAUUACCUGGGCCAACCAACUUCUGCCAUGGGUGGGUAAAAGGGGAAGCAAGCCCGCAGGCGUACCCCAUUCUUUAAAAACCUGUCUCAGUUGGGAUGCCGGCUGCAACUUGCCUGC